rnacentral:rRNA from 1 species
AACGAACGCUGGCGGCAUGCCUAACACAUGCAAGUCGAACGAAGGCUUCGGCCUUAGUGGCGCACGGGUGCGUAACGCGUGGGAAUCUGCCCUUAGGUUCGGAAUAACAGUUAGAAAUGACUGCUAAUACCGGAUGAUGACGUAAGUCCAAAGAUUUAUCGCCUGAGGAUGAGCCCGCGUAGGAUUAGCUAGUUGGUGUGGUAAAGGCGCACCAAGGCGACGAUCCUUAGCUGGUCUGAGAGGAUGAUCAGCCACACUGGGACUGAGACACGGCCCAGACUCCUACGGGAGGCAGCAGUGGGGAAUAUUGGACAAUGGGCGCAAGCCUGAUCCAGCAAUGCUGCGUGAGUGAUGAAGGCCUUAGGGUUGUAAAGCUCUUUUACCCGUGAUGAUAAUGACAGUAGCGGGAGAAUAAGCCCCGGCUAACUCCGUG